GACGAACGCUGGCGGCGUGCUUAACACAUGCAAGUCGAGCGGUAAGGCCCUUUCGGGGGUACACGAGCGGCGAACGGGUGAGUAACACGUGGGUGACCUGCCCUCAGCUCUGGGAUAAGCCUGGGAAACCGGGUCUAAUACCGGAUAUGACUCCAUGACGCAUGUUGUGGGGUGGAAAGCCUUGUGCGGCUGAGGAUGGGCCCGCGGCCUAUCAGCUUGUUGGUGGGGUGAUGGCCUACCAAGGCGACGACGGGUAGCCGGCCUGAGAGGGCGACCGGCCACACUGGGACUGAGACACGGCCCAGACUCCUACGGGAGGCAGCAGGUGGGGAAUCUUGCGCAAUGGGCGAAAGCCUGACGCAGCGACGCCGCGUGAGGGAUGACGCCU
rnacentral:rRNA from 1 species